AAAGGAUGUAGUUGGCUUAGAUUACUCUUUUUAUCACAACUGCUACAUUUCAAAAUAACAGUUAUUCGUAUAUCUUCACCCUUAACCAUGAACCUCUUUUUUUUUUUUUUUAUUCACUUAACUCUUCUAUUUUAAGCUUCGAAGCAAAGAAGAAAAAAGGAACAAAAAAAACAUAAGUUGAUAAUUCAAAAUUAAAUUAUGAAAGAUUUUGUUCCAAUUAAUUUUAUAUAGUACAGUAAUACAAUGAUUUAGAACUAUAUUUCAAAUCACAGUACAAUAUUUCAUUUUUCAUUUAAACAUCUUGUAUGAUAUUAUUGACCCGCCCAAGUAUAAAUCUUCUUGUUCAUUAGAUUAUAAUUUCCUUAUUACGGCACCCCAUACAUAUUCGCUACUUCACGUAGUUCGUUUUUUCUUUUUCUCCUUUCUUUCUUUCGAUCACAUAAACAAUCGUAAGUGGUGGUAUUUUUAUGUAAGGCAAGACUAUAUAGUUUUAAUGCUCAAAUAACCACUAAUUCGCCUAAUAGUUAGGUCGGUCGCCAUGUGUGGUCACGUUGACAUUUUAUAGAAAAUUGAUUAUGUGAAACAGAUCUCUCCUAUAUUUGUUUGGUAGAAAGAAAAAUCAAUUUGAUGAAACGGCAUGUGAGCUUCACAUGCCAAUCAAUGGUACAUUUCAUUGGUAUUUGUAUUGUAUCGUAAAAGUAGGGAUAUUAAAUGCAACAAUAGUGUAGUCAACAUGUUGUUCUACUUCUAUCUCGUCUAGAAAUUCAGUCCAAAUAAACUGAAUUCUCUAUAUUUUAUAGUAACUGAGAAUAAGUUAGAUCUUAUUUCAGUAUCCCGCAGAACCCCAUUUUGUUCCUU
rnacentral:lncRNA from 1 species